rnacentral:misc_RNA from 1 species
AACGCACAUUGCGCCCCUUGGUAUUCCUUGGGGCAUGCCUGUUCGAGCGUCAUCUAAACCUUCAAGCCCUGCUUGGUGUUGGGUGCCUGUCCCGCCCCCGCGCGUGGACUCACCUCAAAUCCAUCGGCGGCCCCCGCGUCGGCCACGAGCGCAGCAGAAACGCGAACUCGUGGGCCCGUCCGGGCGGCUCCCAGAAGCUACACCCACCCCUUUUGACCUCGGAUCAGGUAGGGAUACCCGCUGAACUUAA